UACAGAGGGGGCAAGCGUUGUUCGGAAUUACUGGGCGUAAAGGGCGCGUAGGCGGCCUGUUAAGUCGAACGUGAAAUCCCCGGGCUCAACCCGGGAACUGCGUCCGAUACUGGCAGGCUUGAAUCCGGGAGAGGGAUGCGGAAUUCCUGGUGUAGCGGUGAAAUGCGUAGAUAUCUGGAGGAACACCGGUGGCGAAGGCGGCAUCCUGGACCGGCAUUGACGCUGAGGCGCGAAGGCCAGGGGAGCAAACGGG
rnacentral:rRNA from 1 species